rnacentral:rRNA from 1 species
UCCUACGGGUGGCUGCAGUCGAGAAUAUUCCACAAUGCACGAAAGUGUGAUGGAGCGACGCCGCGUGUUGAACGAAGGCCUUCGGGUCGUAAACAACUUUUCUCAGGGACGAAUUUUGACGGUACCUGAGGAAUAAGGGGUUGCUAACUCUGUGCCAGCAGCAGCGGUAAUACAGAGACCCCAAGCAUUAUCCGGAUUUAUUGGGCGUAAAGCGUACGUAGGCGGUUUCGUAAGUCAUUUGUUAAAUCUUCAGGCUUAACCUGGAGGCUGCGGGUGAUACUGCGAGGCUUAGAGUAUGGGAGAGGUUAGCGGAAUGCCUGGUGUAGCGGUAAAAUGCGUUAAUAUCAGGUAGAACACCAAAUGCGAAAGCAGCUAACUGGAACAUCACUGACGCUGAGUGUACGAAAGCGUGGGUAGCGAAAGGGAUUAGAUACCCCAGUAGUCC